UACGUAGGGGGCAAGCGUUGUCCGGAAUCAUUGGGCGUAAAGAGCGUGUAGGCGGUUCGGUAAGUCGGCUGUGAAAGUCCAGGGCUCAACCCUGGGAGUGCCCGGUCGAUACUGCCGGACUAGAGUUCGGAAGAGGCGAGUGGAAUUCCCGGUGUAGCGGUGAAAUGACGCAGAUAUCGGGAGGAACACCUAUGGCGAAGGCAGCUCGCUGGGACGUUACUGACGCUGAGACGCGAAAGCGUGGGGAGCAAACAGG
rnacentral:rRNA from 1 species